rnacentral:rRNA from 1 species
UACGAAGGGGGCUAGCGUUGCUCGGAAUCACUGGGCGUAAAGCGCACGUAGGCGGACUCUUAAGUCGGUGGUGAAAUCCUGGAGCUCAACUCCAGAACUGCCUUCGAUACUGGGAGUCUCGAGUCCGGGAGAGGUGAGUGGAACUGCGAGUGUAGAGGUGAAAUUCGUAGAUAUUCGCAGGAACACCAGUGGCGGAACGGCGGCUCACUGGCCCGGUACUGACGCUGAGGUGGCGAAAGCG